AUUGAACGCUGGCGGCAGGCUUAACACAUGCAAGUCGAGCGAGUGGCGGACGGGUGAGUAAUGUCUGGGAAACUGCCUGACGGAGGGGGAUAACUACUGGAAACGGUCGCUAAUACCGCAUACCAGCGGAUGUGCCCAGAUGGGAUUAGCUAGUAGGUGGGGUAAAGGCUCACCUAGGCGACGAUCCCUAGCGGGUCUGAGAGGAUGACCAGCCACACGGGGACUGAGACACGGUCCAGACGCCUACGGGAGGCAGCAGUGGGGAAUAGUGCACAAUGGGCGCAAGCCUGAUGCAGCCAUGCCGCGUGUAUGAAGAAGGCCUUCGGGUUGUAAAGUACUUUCAGCGGGGAGGCGUUACCCGCAGAAGAAGCACCGGCUAACUCCGUGCCAGCAGCCGCGGUAAUAC
rnacentral:rRNA from 1 species